rnacentral:sRNA from 1 species
ACUCUUCGGCUUGCUGAGGGCAGAUGAAGUGAAUGUGUGAAUCGAUGCCGCCUGCAGUGACGAUGUCAUGCUCCGCUGAGAUGACAUCUGUGUUGGAACCGCACACCAUGUUGGGAGAAACGUUAUCCAUGAUGUCUGGAUUGCCUGCCUUGCCAAUGCCCACAAUGUAUCCGUCCUUAACGCCGAUAUCAGCCUUGUAGAUACCGCUAUAGUCGAUAAUUACAGCAUUUGUGAGCACGAGAUCAAGACACUCACUAUCUAGUCGCCCACUAGCUUGACCCAUGCCAUCUCGAAU